UGAGGGAAUAUUGGGUCAAUGGGCGAGAGCCUGAACCAGCCAAGUAGCGUGCAGGAUGACGGCCCUACGGGUUGUAAACUGCUUUUAUGAAGGAAUAAAGUCACCCACGUGUGGGUGUUUGCAUGUACUUUAUGAAUAAGGACCGGCUAAUUCCGUGCCAGCAGCCGCGGUAAUACGGAAGGUCCGGGCGUUAUCCGGAUUUAUUGGGUUUAAAGGGAGCGUAGGCCGCCUGGUAAGCGUGUUGUGAAAUGUCGUUGCUCAACAACGUCACUGCAGCGCGAACUGCCGGGCUUGAGUGCGCAGGAGGUAGGCGGAAUUCGUGGUGUAGCGGUGAAAUGCUUAGAUAUCACGAAGAACCCCGAUUGCGAAGGCAGCUUACCGUAGCGUUACUGACGCUGAAGCUCGAAAGUGCGGGUAUCGAACAGGAUUAGAUACCCUGGUAGU
rnacentral:rRNA from 1 species